UUAUUCAUUACAAGGUAAUCAAAUCAUUUUUUAUUUGUUAUAUGCAAAUUAAGAGGGAAAUAUAUGGCUAAACUUAUGACGUUUAUUUAUGUUAUGAUCUGUUUUCUUUCCCUAUUUCUUGUGGCAACAAGUGUUGAAGACGUCGAUUGUAUUAAUGAUUCUGAAUGUAUAGAUGUUAAGUGUAAGCCUCCUCGGAUUCCACGGUGUACCGAUAGUCAUCGAUGUAAUUGUUUGCUUCCAUUUGUUCCUAAAGUUCCUUGGAGUACAAGACUUAAGAGAGUGCACAAAUAUCAUAUAGGGAAGAAUGAUUUUUUGCACUAGAUAAAAAUCUAUGAAACAUUGUUUAUGAUAAAAUAUUCCAUGAUAUAUUUAAUAAUUGUGUUGGAA